AACGAACGCUGGCGGCAGGCUUAACACAUGCAAGUCGAACGCCCCGCAAGGGGAGUGGCAGACGGGUGAGUAACGCGUGGGAAUCUACCCAUCCCUACGGAAUAACGCAUGGAAACGUGUGCUAAUACCGUAUACGCCCUACGGGGGAAAGAUUUAUCGGGGAUGGAUGAGCCCGCGUUGGAUUAGCUAGUUGGCGGGGUAAAGGCCUACCAAGGCGACGAUCCAUAGCUGGUCUGAGAGGAUGAUCAGCCACAUUGGGACUGAGACACGGCCCAAACUCCUACGGGAGGCAGCAGUGGGGAAUAUUGGACAAUGGGCGCAAGCCUGAUCCAGCCAUGCCGCGUGAGUGAUGAAGGCCUUAGGGUUGUAAAGCUCUUUCACCGGAGAAGAUAAUGACGGUAUCCGGAGAAGAAGCCCCGGCUAACUUCGUG
rnacentral:rRNA from 1 species